rnacentral:piRNA from 1 species
UAGAAUUUGGGCUACAGUUGCUACUUAUACC